GACAGAGGAUGCAAGCGUUAUCCGGAAUGAUUGGGCGUAAAGCGUCUGUAGGUGGCUUUUUAAGUCCGCCGUCAAAUCCCAGGGCUCAACCCUGGACAGGCGGUGGAAACUACCAAGCUGGAGUACGGUAGGGGCAGAGGGAAUUUCCGGUGGAGCGGUGAAAUGCGUAGAGAUCGGGAGGAACAUCUGUGGCGAAGGCGGCCAUCUGGACCAGCACUGACACUGAGGCACGAAAGCGUGGGGAGCAAACAGG
rnacentral:rRNA from 1 species